GUCCCCCCACCCCGGCCGCCCCUCAGGCCCACCUUUGCCCGCCCCAGUGACGAGCGCCCGGCGGCCCGCGAGCCCCAGCUCCAUGAUUAGCGUGCAGUCCCAGCGCUCGGCGGCGACAACACCGCAGGAAAGUUUGGUGAAAAGGAUUGCAUGCCUCCUCCCCAGCCCCCGACCCGGGAUCGGCUCAGGCGGGCUCACCUGAGGGCCCAAAGGGAGAGUUUGGACAACUAAAUAAGCCUGAAGAAGCCAAUGCCACAAAGGUCCACUUUAACCUGGAAGGGAGCUGAACCCCAGUAUCAUCCAGGCCCGCCCACUUGAGACCGCCGGCACGUUACGAAACUCGGGUAGGAUAAGAAGAGAUUGGGGUCACCGAGGUGCACAGUGGCCAGCAAGGGCAAGCAUUGCUUCCUGAGGCUUUGGGGUCAUUCACAGAUAUAUAUGAGAUAUAUGUGUGCACUGCCCCCAUAAAAGCUGAUUUGUUUAGUGGGUCAUGGUGAGAAAGCCUAGAACUGCCUGGAGUACCUUCUAUGGCCAAGAGUAGGGAAUCCGUAGUGGCAGGGCCUCUGGGUCACUGGGGCUUUGGGCCUGGAGGAGUGGACUGGCUGGAGGAGAGGGUAACCAGGGCAGCCCGAAGCACAGAUCUGAGAAGCCCCUGGAGAACAGCCAAGUGAGUCCUCCCCACCAAGCCUAGUCCUGAAGUGCACACCCCCUGGCUGCCACUCAAACCCUGCCCUCUGCCUGCCAGAGGCCAAGGGAAGAGUAGCCCCCCACCUGAAAGUCCUUCCUGAAAGGCACAUCUGCUUAGAUCCCUUCUGUGGCUUUCCUUUGCCCCCAGAACAGUGUCCAAAUUCUCUAACCUGUCCCAUGACCCUCAGUGGGCCAGCUCUGGCACAAACCUUGCUGUGGGAGGCCCUGCAGGUUGGCCAGAAAUGCCCUCAGCUCUCCCCACCCCCACCCUGUGCUCUCCCAGCCCAGGGGAACGAUUGCCUGUAGGACCCCACCCCAGCCCCUCAUCCCUUGCGUCCUUGCUCAGGGUUGGAGACUUUUCCAGUCUAGCUGAGUGACCACCUCAGGCCUCAUCACCCCCCAGGUGCCCUGUGGGGACUCGGCUGGGACGGUCGCAGCUGAGCCCGGCAGGACCCGCAGAGCUCCUGUGCCUGGCCUCGGGACAGACACAAGGCAGGGCAGCAGCUGUGGACCCCUGCCCAGCUCGGGCCGCCUUCCCGGGAGUCGCCUUGUGAGGGAGGUGUGCCUGGAGGUGGAACUGGAUCCCAUUGGGCUGGAUAAACUCGACUGGUCCAGCACCCCGCCCCCUCACAGCCGGGCUGAGCGCUCCGUCCCAUCUUCCCGAGGGAUGGCCCACGUCUAGUCCAGACCCAGACCCGUAACCUCUCUGACCCGUGGUGGUCGCAGCUGCGGGGCGGGGCUGAAGGGCGGGACCAGAGCCUUCGGGGAGGGAAGGUGGCUGUAGGCUGCCCUCCGGCCUCUGGCCUCUGGCCUCUUGGGGGAGGGGCGCGGACAACAAGAAUCUCCUCUGUGUAAACAAGUCGCUGCCCUUCAGCCACAAGCCAGGGUCGGCGGUGGAGUCCGGCUGGCUCUAGGAUCUGCCCCCUCACUUCAUGGAAAGUGAAAUAUGUGCCCCCCAUCCCUGAUUUCCCCUCCCCGGCCUCGCGGCUACCCCUCCAAAACCAUGGCACGCACUGGAUCCAGGAGAAUGGCCUCCAUUUAUUUAGGCAAAUCCAACCAGCACAGCGGAGGACACAGUUGGGGGGCGGCGACAGGGGGUUUCCCGGCAGCGCGGGUGCGGAUGGGGAGCGCGACCAGAUACCGAGUCUGGACGGGAGAGUGGCUGGUGGGGCCGGAGGGUGAAGGGGCCUCGGGCGUGAAGGCGUGGCCGGGCGUUGGGCGGAGCCGGAUGUUGGCGUGGAGGCGUGGUCCGGGCGUGGGGCGGGGCCCGGUGGGCCGAGCACCGCCCCUCUCCCCACCCCCCGGGCUCGCCAACGCGGGACGCGCUAGGAGGCCAGGUACCCGGCGUCCACGAGGAUGCCCGAGCCGCUGGUGGGGGCGCUGCGGUCGCUGAGCAGGAAGAGGAUGCUGUUGACCACGUCCUCCAUCUCUGCGGGCGGGUGCCGCUCCUUCAGCUUCCGGGCUAACUCGGGGUCCGUCAAGACUUUCUGGCUCAUGGCCGUCGGCACCACCUUGGGGUUCACGGAGUUUACCCGGAUCCAGGGCCCCGGGGUCGAAGUGGGCCUCAGCAGGGCCCCCCUCCCAUGCCCACCUUGUAUGGCCCCAGCUCUGCGGCUAUGACUUUGGGAUCUGCUGUCCUCCUCACCACAACCCAAAGGUGCUGGCCAAAAAUUCCACCCUGAAUUUUGGAAAAGGAAAUAAAAAUAAACCCUGGACUGGGGGGCAUGCCGCUUCUUGGCUGGCUGGGGACAGAUGGCCUGGAGCUGGACCCUGCAUGAUAGCAAAGACGCACUGGGCUUGAGGCUGGUCUCCCACCCCGCUGACCCUAUUCCACCAUGGCCCCAGUCUGGGGACCACGGCAGCUCCAGAGUCUUCCUCACGCGCCCCUGGCCAGCCUAGGACUCCUGUCCCUCGGGCCUCCAAGCACAGUGAUCAGCCCUGUGCACAGGUGUGGCUGCCCUGAGGUGCCCUCAUUCCUCUCAGGGGUGGCUCUGGGGUGGGGGGGGUCCUCUCCUUCCCCAGCUGUCCCCUUUUGGUUCCCUUCCCUCCCCCUUUUGGAACUUCAUCUCAGCACAGAUUGGUGGACUCUUCGCAUUGGCAAAGGACUCACUGUGGAUUUCUCCUUCGUGCCACUGAUGCUCGUGGAUUCUGAUGGUUCCUGGUGUCCAGUUGCUUUGUGUUUGCAGUGAGAGCACGUGGCCUGAGACCCUGCCCCACAGCGUCCUGGGAGGACUGUCCACGGCUCGGCGCAUCCCUGCAGGUCACUCGCUCCUCUUGCCUGAACAGGUAGCGAAAGGGUCCAGUCCAGGCUCACCUGUGGCUUGGGAUGGCCCGUCUCUCUCGUCUCCCUCUCCCCAGAACACUCCUCAGUCUUUCCUUGACCUUUAUGACCUUGGCAUUUCUGGAGCCUGGAGGUCAGUUCUUUUGUAGAACGCCUGUCAGCUGGGCCUUGCCCAGCGUUCCCUCGUGGUGAGGGGCUGCACGUCUCUGUCAGCGGCGCCGGGGAAGGGCGCUGUGUCUCACAACCCGCCGUCAGCUGGUGCCGCGCGAACCCGUCUCACCACCGGUGAUGUUAGCUCUGAUGGAGGGAUGUCAGCUGUGACCACCUCAGGCAGUGCAUUGUCCUUCUGCUUCGCAUCUGUCCUCCGAACCGCGGGCGAGCCGUCCCCUGUGGCUCGGGUCCGCCGUGCGCGGCGUCCGCCCACCCGAUGCAAACCCGCCACAGUGCAUCGGACUUAGCUUCCCAGUAAAGCCAGUAGCAAAAUCUGACGUAAUUCAGCCAACUGCACAACCAGCCACGCACUCCCUGAGAUGCCGGAACCCAAGCUCAGAAGCCCAGGGUGAGGGCGCUUGCACCCCAGGGCAGCCCGUGAAGGGGCUUCCAUGCCCAGAUCAGGGCUGAUGGAGCAAAGACUUGCCAAGUGCCUGGCACUGGCCCCAGGGCCCCUGACACGGACUCCCCACAGUCUCCGAGAGGAAGAUCACCGAACGACAUGCGUAACCACCGCAGGCCGGCUUGGGCUCUGGGCUUGGGAUGCAUGUGGCAGACCCACCACGGAAAGGGGCAUGAAACAGGCCGCAAGAAGGGUGUGACCCAGGCUGUGGCAGGCCGCCGGUGCGGGGACCCCCCACCCAAGGUGGGGGGCCAGGAGCAGGCGCUCACCUGCAUUGCACCAGCUUGCUUGGUGAACCCCCAGCCCUCUUAGACUGUGUUUAGUGGAGAGUUAACUACAGAGGGGUCUGGCCCUUGUCUCUGCUCCUGGGACAGGAUCUCUGGGCCCCUGCCAUGUCCCGCCUGACAGGCGUGUGUCGGCUCGCCUGGGGGCCUGGGCACAGGGUAGUCUCAGGUGUGAUUUAUGCUGGGGGUUUAAGGAUACGUUAUAUCGGGCCUGAUCUCUGGGGGGGCCUGGCGUCUAAAGGUCGGCCAGCCACACGGGCAGUAGGUGAUAGAGCCCCCCAAACUCCUGGACACCAAAGGUUCAGGCAAGCUUCCUGGCUGGGGAUAUUUCAUGCAUGUUGUCACGGGUCAAGACUCCGGGAGGGGAGAGACAGUGGGCAAGUUGGCCUCUCCCGGGUGCCGCCCUCUGUCUCUCCCUUUGGGGAUUUUCCAUAUCCAUUUGCUGUAAGAAAACUGUAAUCCUAAGUAUAGCAUUUUCUUGACUUCUGUGGAUCAUUCUAGUGACUUAUGGAAACUGAGGGUGUCUGUGGGGUCCCCUGAAUUUGUAGCCAGCUGGUCUGCAAGGAGGGUAGCCCUGGGUCCCCUCACCUUGCUGCUGGUGUCUGAGAUGAGGGUGGUCUCCUGGGGAUGCUCCCCGGGGCUGCCGUUGGCUGAGCUCCCAUGCCACAGGCCGAAACCAUGCAGCACUCACAAGCCCCAUAAUCUCAGGGGCUUGGUGUAAGGACGCCUUCUCUCCCACUCCCACUAGGGCUCGGGGCCAGCUGUGCAGGGACUCAGGCUGGUGCAGGCUCCGCCCCCUAGUAGCUGCGCCAUCUGGAACCUGGUCAUGGCAAGAGGCAGAUGUUGCGCCCUACACCAGCAGGUGCUGGGGGGGUGGGGGGAGGCCUCAGGCACCCAGGGGCCGCACAUGAAAGGCCUGGGCUGCACCUGAACAAAGGUACUUCCCAAGCCUCCAAGCUAACUUCUCAGGUUUUCUCCUUAAGAGAGAGGGAGGUUUUAUUUGCUUUUCUUGUUUCUCAGGGCAAGGAGAGCACGCUUGAGCAGACCUGCCCGACACUGGACCUGGCCAGGGACAAGCCCCAAAGGGGACACUUGAGCAGGGUGGGGUGGAGCUAAGUCAGAGCUGGCUGGGGCCAGGGACAGGUGGGCUCUGAGGGGAGGGGGCUCCUCACCAAACGGCCAAACCCUGGGCACCCACUGGAAAAGCCUGGGCUCCAGGCUGCACUCAGGAAGGGCAUGGGGGCCUCAGGGAGGCCUGGGAAGGAGGGCCCCCCGUAGGCCAGAUUCCACCCCACUGCCUGGGCUGGCCAGUUCUUCAGUUGGGAAGGCUUGACACCACCUAGAACAUUCUGUGACUGGGAGGUGCAGACAGGCACAAUCCCACGACUAUUCUGUGC